ACGGGUGAGUAAUGCCUAGGAAAUUGCCCUGAUGUGGGGGAUAACCAUUGGAAACGAUGGCUAAUACCGCAUGAUGCCUACGGGCCAAAGAGGGGGACCUUCGGGCCUCUCGCGUCAGGAUAUGCCUAGGUGGGAUUAGCUAGUUGGUGAGGUAAGGGCUCACCAAGGCGACGAUCCCUAGCUGGUCUGAGAGGAUGAUCAGCCACACUGGAACUGAGACACGGUCCAGACUCCUACGGGAGGCAGCAGUGGGGAAUAUUGCACAAUGGGCGCAAGCCUGAUGCAGCCAUGCCGCGUGUGUGAAGAAGGCCUUCGGGUUGUAAAGCACUUUCAGUCGUGAGGAAGGUAGUGUAGUUAAUAGCUGCAUUAUUUGACGUUAGCGACAGAAGAAGCACCGGCUAACUCCGUGCCAGCAGCCGCGGUAAUACGGAGGGUGCGAGCGUUAAUCGGAAUUACUGGGCGUAAAGCGCAUGCAGGUGGUUUGUUAAGUCAGAUGUGAAAGCCCGGGGCUCAACCUCGGAAUAGCAUUUGAAACUGGCAGACUAGAGUACUGUAGAGGGGGGUAGAAUUUCAGGUGUAGCGGUGAAAUGCGUAGAGAUCUGAAGGAAUACCGGUGGCGAAGGCGGCCCCCUGGACAGAUACUGACACUCAGAUGCGAAAGCGUGGGGAGCAAACAGGAUUAGAUACCCUGGUAGUCCACGCCGUAAACGAUGUCUACUUGGAGGUUGUGGCCUUGAGCCGUGGCUUUCGGAGCUAACGCGUUAAGUAGACCGCCUGGGGAGUACGGUCGCAAGAUUAAAACUCAAAUGAAUUGACGGGGGCCCGCACAAGCGGUGGAGCAUGUGGUUUAAUUCGAUGCAACGCGAAGAACCUUACCUACUCUUGACAUCCAGAGAACUUUCCAGAGAUGGAUUGGUGCCUUCGGGAACUCUGAGACAGGUGCUGCAUGGCUGUCGUCAGCUCGUGUUGUGAAAUGUUGGGUUAAGUCCCGCAACGAGCGCAACCCUUAUCCUUGUUUGCCAGCGAGUAAUGUCGGGAACUCCAGGGAGACUGCCGGUGAUAAACCGGAGGAAGGUGGGGACGACGUCAAGUCAUCAUGGCCCUUACGAGUAGGGCUACACACGUGCUACAAUGGCGCAUACAGAGGGCGGCCAACUUGCGAAAGUGAGCGAAUCCCAAAAAGUGCGUCGUAGUCCGGAUUGGAGUCUGCAACUCGACUCCAUGAAGUCGGAAUCGCUAGUAAUCGUGGAUCAGAAUGCCACGGUGAAUACGUUCCCGGGCCUUGUACACACCGC
rnacentral:rRNA from 1 species